rnacentral:rRNA from 1 species
CCCUUAGAUGUCCGGGGCCGCACGCGCGCUACAAUGGAUGAAUCAACGCGUCAUCCUGGCCCGAAAGGGUUGGGGAACCGCUGAACCUCAUCCGUGGUUGGGAUUGGGGUUUGUAAUUAUUCCCCAUGAACUAGGAAUUCCCAGUAAGCGCGAGUCAUAAGCUCGCGUUGAUUACGUCCCUGCCCUUUGUACACACCGCCCGUCGCUACUACCGAUUGAACGUUUUAGUGAGCUCCUCGGAUUGUCAGCCUGGCGGUUAAUCCUGCCUGGCUAGCGAAAAGACGAGCAAACUUGAGCGUUUAGAGGAAGUAAAAGUCGUAACA